rnacentral:rRNA from 1 species
UACGGAGGGUGCAAGCGUUAUCCGGAUUCACUGGGUUUAAAGGGGGCGUAGGAGGGCAGGUAAGUCAGUGGUGAAAUCUUCGAGCUUAACUCGGAAACUGCCGUUGAUACUAUCUGUCUUGAAUACCGUGGAGAUGAGCGGAAUAUGUCAUGUAGCGGUGAAAUGCUUAGAUAUGACAUAGAACACCAAUUGCGAAGGCAGCUCGCUACACGAAUAUUGACUCUGAGGCACGAAAGCGUGGGGAUCAAACAGG